GUGCCAGCAGCCGCGGUAAUACGGAGGGUGCAAGCGUUAUCCGGAUUCACUGGGUUUAAAGGGAGCGCAGGCGGACAUGUAAGUCAGUGGUGAAAUACCUGAGCUUAACUCGGGAACUGCCAUUGAUACUAUGUGUCUUGAAUAUUGUUGAGGUUUGCGGAAUGGGUCAUGUAGCGGUGAAAUGCAUAGAUAUGACCCGGAACACCAAUUGCGAAGGCAGCAGGCUAAACAAAGAUUGACGCUGAGGCUCGAAAGCGUGGGGAUCAAACAGGAUUAGAUACCCCCGUAGUCC
rnacentral:rRNA from 1 species